UACGUAGGGUGCAAGCGUUGUCCGGAAUUAUUGGGCGUAAAGAGCUCGUAGGCGGUUCUGUCGCGUCCUGCUGUGAAAACCUAGGGCUUAACUCUGGGCGUGCAGUGGGUACGGGCAGGCUAGAGUGCGGUAGGGGAGACUGGAAUUCCUGGUGUAGCGGUGGAAUGCGCAGAUAUCAGGAGGAACACCAAGUGGCGAAGCAGAUCUCUGGGC
rnacentral:rRNA from 1 species